GUGGAUUAGAUACCCUGGUAGUCCAUGCCGUAAACGUUGGGCACUAGGUGUGGGGGACAUUCCACGUUUUCCGCGCCGUAGCUAACGCAUUAAGUGCCCCGCCUGGGGAGUACGGCCGCAAGGCUAAAACUCAAAGGAAUUGACGGGGGCCCGCACAAGCGGCGGAGCAUGCGGAUUAAUUCGAUGCAACGCGAAGAACCUUACCAAGGCUUGACAUGUGCCAGACCGCUCCAGAGAUGGGGUUUCCCUUCGGGGCUGGUUCACAGGUGGUGCACGGUUGUCGUCAACU
rnacentral:rRNA from 1 species